UACGUAGGCAGCAAGCGUUGUUCGGAGUUACUGGGCGUAAAGGGUGCGUAGGCGGUUGGUUAAGUUUGGUGUGAAAUCUCCCGGCUCAACUGGGAGGGUGCGCCGAAUACUGAAUGACUAGAGUGCGGGAGAGGAGAGUGGAAUUCCUGGUGUAGCGGUGAAAUGCGUAGAUAUCAGGAGGAACACCGGUGGUGUAGACGGCUCUCUGGACCGUAACUGACGCUGAGGCACGAAAGCGUGGGUAGCAAACAGG
rnacentral:rRNA from 1 species